rnacentral:rRNA from 1 species
UCUGCGGAGGGAUCAUUACACAACAAAAUAUGAAGGUCUGGCUUCGCGGCCGGCUGAAAUAUUUUUUUCACCCAUGUCUUUUGCGCACUUGUUGUUUCCUGGGCGGGUUCGCCCGCCACCAGGACCAAACCAUAAACCUUUUUUUUUAUGCAGUUGCAAUCAGCGUCAGUAAAAACAAUGUAAUUAAUUACAACUUUCAACAACGGAUCUCUUGGUUCUGGCAUCGAUGAAGAACGCAGCGAAAUGCGAUACGUAGUGUGAAUUGCAGAAUUCAGUGAAUCAUCGAAUCUUUGAACGCACAUUGCGCCCUUUGGUAUUCCAAAGGGCAUGCCUGUUCGAGCGUCAUUUGUACCUUCAAGCUUUGCUUGGUGUUGGGCGUUUUUGUCUCCCUCUUUCUGGGAGACUCGCCUUAAAACGAUUGGCAGCCGGCCUACUGGUUUCGGAGCGCAGCACAUAAUUUGCGCUUUGUAUCAGGAGAAAAGGACGGUAAUCCAUCAAGACUCUACAUUUUUAACUUUUGACCUCGGAUCAGGUAGGGAUACCCGCUGAACUUAAGCAUAUCAAAAGGCGGGGGAGGGAAA